CCUACGGGGUGCAGCGGGCGCGAAAACUUUACAAUGCCGGCAACGGCGAUAAGGGGACCUCGAGUGCCAGGUUACAAAUCUGGCUGUCGUGAUGCCUAAAAAGCAUUGCAUAGCAAGGGCCGGGCAAGACCGGUGCCAGCCGCCGCGGUAA
rnacentral:rRNA from 1 species